GAAGGAUGUGAAGGACAAUUUGAAUAUAUGUCCAGAGGAGUACAAGCCAAUCUGCAUGAAAAACUGUAACAGCAUAUGGAAGGAUCACAAGAAUAAGAUUAAGUGUAAGUAUUUCAAUCCUAGAAGUGAAGAUCCUAAUAUGAAGGAUGAUGUUCCUUUGCACAUUGUGCCAAGCCAGUGGGAAGAACUUGUGGAGUAUUGGCGUACUUCCGAUGCUGAGAAAAUUGCAACUAGGAACGCUAAAAAUCGAUGAGCUCACGACAUAGCUCAUACC